rnacentral:rRNA from 1 species
CCAAUAGCGUAUAUUAAAGUUGUUGCAGUUAAAAAGCUCGUAGUUGAAUUUCAGGCCUGGCUGGACGGUCCGCCCUUCGGGUGAGUACUGUCUGUGGUCGGGUCCUACCUUCUGGCGAAGCGUCAUGGCCUUAACCGGCCGUGGCGGGGAACCAGGACUUUUACUGUGAAAAAAUUAGAGUGUUCAAAGCAGGCAAUCGCGUGGAUACAUUAGCAUGGAAUAAUGGAAUAGGACAAUGGUUCUAUUUGUUGGUUUCUAGGACCGUUGUAAUGAUUAAUAGGGAUAGUUGGGGGCAUUAGUAUUCAAUUGUCAGAGGUGAAAUUCUUGGAUUUAUUGAAGACUAACUACUGCGAAAGCAUUUGCCAAGGAUGUUUUCAUUAAUCAAGAACGAAAGUUAGGGGAUCGAAGACGAUCAGAUACCGUCGUAGUCUUAACCAUAAACUAUGCCGACUAGGAAUCGGGCGAUGUUGAAAAAAUGACGCGCUCGGCACCUCAUG